GCCAGGCUGGAUAAGAAGGCCUUGGGCAACCUGGCCGUGUGGGAGCCGUCGCUGCCCAGGCGGGGGGGUUGGGACAAGAGGACCUUUAAGGUCCAAUCCAACCCCUCGACAUUCUACGAUUUAAUGAUCCUUAUGCUCUGCCAGGAGCUGGACAGGCUCACACACACUCGGUCCUGGAGGCACAAAGGGACUGCGCUGUUUUGUUCCCCGUUUGGAGCAGCCCCGGGCACGCUGGAGCUGCGCUGGAGCAGGAGCACCUGGAACAGAGCCUUACCUAAGCUGUUUCCUCCACAACCCUGCAAGAUCCGCCUGGCACGCUUUUUGGCAUCUUCUGGAAAGCUCGGGCUGUCCAACAGGUUUGGGUAUGUGCACAGGGCCACUACCUGGAGUGCCAAGAAAAUGUCAAUUGGCCACUUUUCAAUGGUUAUUUUAAGUUGAUGAUAUUAUGUGAACUUUCCUUGGAAAUGAAGAUCACAAACACU